GACGUAGGAGGCAAGCGUUAUCCGGAUUUACUGGGCGUAAAGAGCGCGCGGGCGGCCUUUUAAGUCUGCAGUGAAAUCUCCCCGCUUAAGGGGGAGGGGCCUGUGGAAACUGGAGGGCUUGAGGGCAGAAGGGGGAGGUGGAAUUCCCGGUGUAGUGGUGAAAUGCGUAGAUAUCGGGAGGAACACCGGUGGCGAAGGCGACCUCCUGGGCUGCCCCUGACGCUGAGGCGCGAAAGCGUGGGGAGCGAACCGG
rnacentral:rRNA from 1 species